GAGAUAAAAUUUAGAUCAAGCUUCUAACUUGAUAUUUAUAGAAUUAAUCUAUUUAUCUCU
rnacentral:tRNA from 1 species